GCCCCCGUAGCUCAGAGGAAGAGCAACCGGCUUUUAACCGGUGGGUCGAGAUAUCGUAAUUCUCCGGGGGCACCA
rnacentral:tRNA from 1 species